UAUAGUGAUAGUAGUUGCACUCGAUUUGGAUCGCGCCCAUGCUUGCUCAGCUCCAGGAUCAGGCUCCUAAACCUAUUUUCAAUAAAUUAUCUGGUCUAUGUUGUUGGAGUUCCGCAUGACGCCUUAAUCCCACCUCUGUGUCUAAGGAAUAGCCUUUUCUUCUUUUUCUUUAUUGUUCGUGAGAACAUGUAA
rnacentral:rRNA from 1 species